rnacentral:tRNA from 1 species
UGGCUCAGCAGUUAAGAGCACUGGAUGCUCUUCCAGAGGACCUGGGUUCAAUUCCCAG